GGGCGUGUGGCUCAGUUGGUAGAGCGUUCGCUUAGCAUACCUGCACCCCCCAAGUGUAUGCGAAAGGUCCUGGGUUCGAUUCCCAGCUCGUCCA